UCAGGAUGAACGCUGGCGGCGUGCUUAACACGUGCAAGUCGAACGGGAAUGCCACGCUGAUGCGAUUUCGGUCAAAUCAUGUGGCAUUCGAGUGGCGGACGGGUGAGUAACGCGUGGGUAACCUGCCUUACACAGGGGGAUAACACCUGGAAACAGGUGCUAAUACCGCAUAAGCGCACAGGGCCGCAUGGCCCGGUGUGAAAAACUCCGGUGGUGUAAGAUGGACCCGCGUCUGAUUAGCUUGUUGGCGGGGUAGGGGCCCACCAAGGCGACGAUCAGUAGCCGGCCUGAGAGGGUGGACGGCCACAUUGGGACUGAGACACGGCCCAAACUCCUACGGGAGGCAGCAGUGGGGGAUAUUGGACAAUGGGGGAAACCCUGAUCCAGCGACGCCGCGUGAGUGAAGAAGUAUUUCGGUAUGUAAAGCUCUGUCAGCAGGGAAGAAAGAAAUGACGGUACCUGACCAAGAAGCCCCGGCUAUCUACGUGCCAGCAGCCGCGGUAAUACGUA
rnacentral:rRNA from 1 species